AGAUGGCGACCGGCGCACGGGUGAGUAACACGUAUCCAACCUGCCGAUAACUCGGGGAUAACCUUUCGAAAGAAAGAUUAAUACCCGAUGGUAUAAUCAGACCGCAUGGUUUGAUUAUUAAAGAAUUUCGGUUAUCGAUGGGGAUGCGUUCCAUUAGGCAGUUGGUGAGGUAACGGCUCACCAAACCUUCGAUGGAUAGGGGUUCUGAGAGGAAGGUCCCCCACAUUGGAACUGAGACACGGUCCAA
rnacentral:rRNA from 1 species